rnacentral:rRNA from 1 species
UACAGAGGUCUCAAGCGUUUGUUCGGAUUCAUUGGGCGUAAAGGGUGCGUAGGUGGCGCCGUAAGUCGGGUGUGAAAUUUCGGAGCUUAACUCCGAAACUGCAUUCGAUACUGCGGUGCUUGAGGACUGGAGAGGAGACUGGAAUUCAUGGUGUAGCAGUGAAAUGCGUAGAGAUCAUGAGGAAGACCAGUGGCGAAGGCGGGUCUCUGGACAGUUCCUGACGCUGAGGCACGAAGGCCAGGGGAGCAAACGGG